UACGUAGGGUGCGAGCGUUAAUCGGAAUUACUGGGCGUAAAGUGUGCGCAGGCGGCGCGUUAAGACAGGUGUGAAAGCCCCGAGCUUAACUUGGGAAUUGCGCUUGUGACUGGCGAGCUGGAGUGUGGCAGAGGGAGGUGGAAUUCCACGUGUAGCAGUGAAAUGCGUAGAGAUGUGGAGGAACACCGAUGGCGAAGGCAGCCUCCUGGGCCAGCACUGACGCUCAUGCACGAAAGCGUGGGGAGCAAACAGG
rnacentral:rRNA from 1 species